AACAUUGUGUUUCUUCGCAGGCGCAAGAGCUUAAAUCCUAUACAGUGCACAAGCGUCCCCUGGUGGCUGCAUGGAGCAGUGCCAUGACACUUGGAAACUGUGGUGAAAGGCUGCGAAGUCGCUCACCAACUGCAUGGACACAGGCUCCCGGAGGAUACUGAGUCUCCCAGCUUCAGGGGAAGUUUGAAGGAAAUCAAAGCAGAAACCCAGCAAUGGAAACUUCCUGCAUGCUCCGAGGCGGCUUAGUACUGGGCUGCAAGGGUGUGAGCGUCGUGGGCUGCUUCUCGCCUUUAAAUGAGGAGAUGGAAACCCAACUUCAGGUAGAAGCUUAGUUACAUUUUCAAAGCACUUUCCACAGAACACCUCCUCCCUUCUCGAUAUGCUCGGCAUUCUCUUCCGAAGCCUCAGACGGAGGGACUUCCAGGACCAGACGUGAAGUCAGGAUUGCCUCAAGGCUCAGGACUGGGGCUGUAGCAUGGUGGAGCCUUUCUUUGCCAGUGAUGAAGACCAGAUCAGGCACAAAUGGGAAAACAUGGACUGACUUGGGAAGCUUAACAAUUUGAAGGCGGAUGCCACAUGCAGGUGCAGCUGGAUCGAGGUGGCUGAUGGCAAUGAGAGCUGAUCUUACAAAAUGGCA